AGUGAACGCUGGCGGUAGGCCUAACACAUGCAAGUCGAACGGCAGCACAGGAGAGCCUGCUCUCUGGGUGGCGAGUGGCGGACGGGUGAGGAAUACAUCGGAAUCUACUUUUUCGUGGGGGAUAACGUAGGGAAACUUACGCUAAUACCGCAUACGACCUACGGGUGAAAGCAGGGGAUCUUCGGACCUUGCGCGAUUGAAUGAGCCGAUGUCGGAUUAGCUAGUUGGCGGGGUAAAGGCCCACCAAGGCGACGAUCCGUAGCUGGUCUGAGAGGAUUAUCAGCCACACUGGAACUGAGACACGGUCCAGACUCCUACGGGAGGCAGCAGUUGGGAAUAUUGGACAAUGGGCGCAAGCCUGAUCCAGCCAUACCGCGUGGGUGAAGGAGGCCUUCGGGUUGUAAAGCCCUUUUGUUGGGAAAGAAAUCCAGCUGGUUAAUACCCGGUUGGGAUGACGGUACCCAAAGAAUAAGCACCGGCUAACUUCGUGCCAGCAGCCGCCGCAG
rnacentral:rRNA from 1 species